GCUCAGAGGCCGAGAGGGACUUGGACAAGAAGGAAGGACAGCGCUCCCUGGAUCGGAGCAGGGAGCGGUGGAGGCAGAGCCGCUAAUGAGUCCCCCUGGGUCCCCUCCUGCGAAGCCCACACCAAAGGAGCCGC